AGAGUUUGAUCCUGGCUCAGAACGAACGCUGGCGGCAGGCUUAACACAUGCAAGUUGAACGGGAUUUGUGUGGUGCUUGCACCAUAUAAUGAGAGUAGCGCACUGGUGAGUAACACGUGGGAACGUACCUUUUGGUGGGGGACAACAUCUGGAAACGGAUGCUAAUACCGCAUAAGACCUGAGGGUGAAAGAUUUAUCGCCGAAAGAACGGCCCGCGGAAGAUUAGGCAGUUGGUGGGGUAAAGGCCUACCAAACCUACGAUCUAUAGCUGGUCUGAGAGGACGAUCAGCCACAUUGGAACUGAGACACGGUCCAGACUCCUACGGGAGGCAGCAGUGAGGAAUAUUGGGCAAUGGAGGCAACUCUGACCCAGCCAUGCCGCGUGAGUGAAGAAGGUUUUCGGAUUGUAAAGCUCUUUCGGAUGUGACGAUGAUGACGGUAGCAUCUAAAGAAGCCCCGGCUAACUUCGUGCCAGCAGCCGCGGUAAUACGAAGGGGGCGAGCGUUGUUCGGAAUUACUGGGCGUAAAGGGUGUGUAGGCGGUUAAGUAAGAUAGUGGUGAAAUGCCGGGGCUCAACCUCGGAAUUGCCAUUAUGACUAUUUAGCUAGAAUGAUGCAGAGGAUAGCGGAAUACCCAGUGUAGAGGUGAAAUUCGUAGAUAUUGGGUAGAACACCAGAGGCGAAGGCGGCUAUCUGGGCAUUGAUUGACGCUGAGGCACGAAAGCAUGGGGAUCAAACAGGAUUAGAUACCCUGGUAGUCCAUGCUGUAAACGAUGAAUGCUAGUUGUUGGAGGAAUUCAGUGACGCAGUUAACACAAUAAGCAUUCCGCCUGGGGAGUACGGUCGCAAGAUUAAAACUCAAAGGAAUUGACGGGGACCCGCACAAGCGGUGGAUGAUGUGGAUUAAUUCGAUGCAACGCGAAAAACCUUACCUAGCCUUGACAUGCCAGGAAGGCCUGAGAGAUCAGGCCGUGCCCGCAAGGGAAUCUGGACACAGGUGCUGCAUGGCUGUCGUCAGCUCGUGUCGUGAGAUGUUGGGUUAAGUCCCGCAACGAGCGCAACC
rnacentral:rRNA from 1 species